rnacentral:misc_RNA from 1 species
UGCGGUGGCUCGGGAGAAAUCCACCACCGUGGCUGCCGCUCCACAUCAGAAAGCCGCGUCCAGGUUCUCUUUUAGAUACCCUUUGCGUUCUUUGUGGCCCGGUGGAGAUCAAAGUAAUAGGUAUAAAGGGAUAGCUGUUGAUGAUGCCGUCUUGAUUGAUAAUGGAGAGACAAAAAGUGGUGCCGGGGAAGAUGCCGAUACUAGAACAAUGGGCUCGUCUGAACGAAAAAAUGGGAACUGGG